UAUUCGUUGGUCCCUGGUGGAUAGUUGUUUUCAUUGUUAUCCGUUGGUCCCUGGUUGAUAGUUGUGUCAUUGUUUAUUAGUUGGUCCCUGGUGGAUAGUUGUUUCAUUGUUUAUUCGUUGGUCCCUGGUGAUAGUUGAGUUCAUUGUUUUAUUAGUUGUCCCUGGUGAUAGUUGUGUCAUUGUUUAUUAGUUGGUCCCUGGUGGAUAGUUGUCUCAUUGUUUAUUAGUUGGUCCCUGGUGGAUAGUUGUGUUUCAUUGUUUAUCCGUUGGUCCCUUGUUGAUAGUUGUCUCUCAUUGUUUAUUCGUUGGUCCUGGUGGAUAGUUGUCUCAUUGUUUAUUCGUUGGUCCCUGGUGGAUAGUUUUGUUCAUUGUUUAUUCGUUGGUCCCUGGUUGAUAGUUUUGUUCAUUGUUUAUUCGUUGGUCCCUGGUUGAUAGUUGUGUUCAUUGUUUAUUCGUUGGUCCCUGGUGGAUAGUUGUCUCAUUGUUUAUUCGUUGGUCCCUGGUUGAUAGUUGUGUUAUUGUUUAUUCAUU
rnacentral:lncRNA from 1 species